rnacentral:rRNA from 1 species
GACGAACGCUGGCGGCGUGCUUAACACAUGCAAGUCGAGCGGUAAGGCCCUUUCGGGGGUACACGAGCGGCGAACGGGUGAGUAACACGUGGGUGACCUGCCCUCAGCUCUGGGAUAAGCCUGGGAAACCGGGUCUAAUACUGGAUAUGACUCCAUGACGCAUGUUGUGGGGUGGAAAGCCUUGUGCGGCUGAGGAUGGGCCCGCGGCCUAUCAGCUUGUUGGUGGGGUGAUGGCCUACCAAGGCGACGACGGGUAGCCGGCCUGAGAGGGCGACCGGGCCACACUGGGACUGAGACACGGCCCAGACUCCUACGGGAGGCAGCAGUGGGGAAUCUUGCGCAAUGGGCGAAAGCCUG